AUUGAUAAAUAUUUUAUUACAUGGAAGAUAAGUAUGCUUUUCAACUAGCUUGAUAAUUUGUAAGAAAAUAUUUUGAUAUUUUUUAAUGAGGGAAACAUUCUUCCACAAAUAAGAAAUAAACACAUGACUAUACCUAUGAGGCAUGUUUUUUUAAGGAAGGUCCAUUUGAACAUAAGUACACAAUGAUAGGUUAUUUCAAAAAAGUAAAUUUAUUUUCAGAAAGUACAUACUUCACUAUAUUUUUUGACAUAGUUGCCAAGUUUGUUCAAACACAUAUCAUACCUCUCAACCAAUUUUAAAAUACCCUCUUCAUAAAAACUUGUCACCUGCUCCAAUAACCAUGAGUUCACUGCCUUUUCCACGUCGUCAUCAUCAUUGAAACGGCUGCCACUGAGGUGUUGUUUGAGGUGGAGGAACAGAUGGUAAUCACUCGGCGCAAGAUCAGGACUGUAGGGUGGGUGGUCUAAAUCUUCCCAGCCGAAACUGUCCAAUAAAUCACGGGUCUGACCUGCAGUGUGAGAUCUUGCAUUGUCAUGGAGAAGGACACUUCCCUUUCUCAGCAUGCCACAUCUUUUGUUUUGAAUCACUCUGUGCAGCUUUUUCAGGGUUUGGCAGUAUGCUUCUGCAUUGAUAGUGGUUCCUCAUUGCAUGAAAUUGACCAACAAAACACCAUGCCUAUCCCAAAACACUGACUCCAUGAUUUUGCACUGGGACAGAGCCUGUUUGGCCUUCACCUUUACAGUGUGUGUGUGUGUGUGUGUGUGUGUGUGUGUGUGUGUCUCCAUUCCAUGCUCUGUUGCUUCGAUUUGGGCAUGAUAAUCGAAACCCAUGUUUCAUCUCCAGCUAUGACCUGACUCAAGAAGCCGUCACCUUCUUCAUGAUAAUGAGUCAAGAACUUCAUCACACACUCAAAUCUUUGGUUUUUGUGGUCCUCCGUUAGGAGCACAGUUUCCUAAACUUUAGGUGUUCAGAAACAGUGUUGUAAAACACUGAUCUCAACACAUUAGGAAAUUCAUUUGAGAUAUCUGUUAUUGUGAGGCACCUGUCCUCAUGAAUCCUCAUUUCAACUGAGGCCACCAAAUCAUUUGUAAUCAAAGAAGGGCGACUGAGGCGGACUUCAUCAUGGACGUUGCCACGGUCAUCUUUGAAUUCUUGUACCCACUUACGCACUUUGCUUUCACUCAUAAUAGGAUCAUCGUACACUUCGCAAAUCCGUCGAUGAAUUUCUGCAGCAGACAGGUUUCUAGAUGACAAAAACCAUAUCACUGAGCAAACCUCACACCCGGUGAGCGAGUUGAUAGUCUUAUACAUUUU